UAGUAUUCAAUUGUCAGAGGUGAAAUUCUUGGAUUUAUUGAAGACUAACUACUGCGAAAGCAUUUGCCAAGGAUGUUUUCAUUAAUCAAGAACGAAAGUUAGGGGAUCGAAGACGAUCAGAUACCGUCGUAGACUUAACCAUAAACUAUGCCGACUAGGGAUCGGAUGAUGUUAAUUUUUUAAUGACUCA
rnacentral:rRNA from 1 species